UACGGGGGGGGGUAAGCGUUGUUCGGAAUUACUGGGCGUAAAGGGCUCGUGAGGCAGCCAACUAGUCAUACGUGAAAUCCCUCAGCUUAACUGGGGAACUGCGUGUGAUACUGGAUGGCUUGGAUUUGGGAGAGGGAUGCGGAAUUCCAGGUGUAGCGGUGAAAUGCGUAGAUAUCUGGAGGAACACCGGUGGCGAAGGCGGCAUCCUGGACCAAUAUUGACGCUGAGGAGCGAAAGCCAGGGGAGCAAACGGG
rnacentral:rRNA from 1 species